UAUAUAUAUAUAUAUAUAUAUAGGUCAUGAAAAAUUUCACGACACCAUCUAUCAUUGUAUUAGUGAUGGAGAAGCAUCCCUGGUUAAGAAGGCCGAACAAGUAGUAGUUAAGUUGUUGCGCAUGGAAAUUUUGAAUAACUUUAUGCAAUUUUAAUUUUAAUUGGUUAUGAUAUUUCUCGAGCUAAGCUAUUAGAUUGUGCACACAAAAUUUUUGUAUCAUAGUUAUUUGAGAGGCUCUCAUGCAAAAUAUCAGAAUCUUAAUUCUAUUUUAUGUGAAUUUAUUUUUGGCACAAAAUACUGUAUGUCUAUACAGUAUACGUGUCUGUUCACUUUCCCCCUCCUACCAAUGCCGGGUUCAUAGUUUGAUAUUCCUCUUUACCACAGAAUAUGAUAUACCUUGAUGAAUUCAGAUUUGAUUCAUGCUUCUGAUCUAAUUCUUGUUUGUUCGUAUAUUUUGAUGCUAUCACGAAACUCUUGUAAUGUGUGACGAGCCUUAUCAACGAUUUCCCCUUCUUUAUAGUUGUUACUUAUUUUGGAAAAGAAGUUAGGAUUGUGUUAUUUAUAUAUUUAUGAUUAUAACCAAAGAUGAUUCUUAUUAAGCUGCUAGCAACAGAUCCAGAGCCAACCCAACCCGAUCCCAGCCUAGAA
rnacentral:lncRNA from 1 species